CCCCACAGCCCCACUCCCCCAUGACAGUGCAGGCAGGGAAUGUCAUACAGGUUGUUCCAGGGAGGUGGAGGUGGGCCACACACACCUGGGUUACCUGUGGCUUGGCUGAUCUCCCUCCUCCAGCAGCAAAUCCCAAGAAUCAACGAGGACAUUGUGGACCCAGAGAUUGCAACAGCAGCAAGAGAGAGAGAGAAGCAAGAGAGGAGGGAGAGGAAGGAGAGGAGGAGGAGAGAGAGAGAGGGAAGCCAGGAGGGAGGUACGUCAGAGAGAGAGGGAGAGGAAGAGGUUGAUUCUAUUACAACAACAACUGCAACAACAACAACAGUUAGUCAGUGAGGAGGGGGAGGGGCCGUCCUCUGAUGCUGAGGAUGAGGUAUUGUUCAGGGAGGCCAUGUCCGAGGUGCCAGUGGUGGGGUCGCCAGUUCCAGAGUACGAAGUGGAGGAGGAAGAGGAAGAAGAGGACGAGGAGGAGGCACGGAUGAGGAAGAAGAAAAGAUUAUUACCUGUAGCCCUCCCUCCAGCUGAUAAGGGGAUAUUAAUGAGGCCUUCCUACAGUUACGAGACCCAGAUGGUGUUCCUCGGCCUUUAGAUCUGAACUUCUUCAAGUAUUCUGCCUCAGUGGCUCGUUCCCCAUCCUUCAUCAACAUGAGGGAGGUGUCUUGUCGCUUCAAGCUGCCCCCUGGCACUUACUGCAUUGUGCCAUCCACCUUUGAGCCUAAUGAAGAAGGAGAGUUCAUUUUGAGAGUCUUCUCUGAAAAAGCCAAUGAAAUGGAGAAAAGCGUACCAGCCAGCCUGCCCACCACACCCAAGUCAACAACCACUCUGUCGUCACUGCAGAAAAACACAAUCAACAUGACCCGUUCUCCCCUAAGACUCAAAGGGUUCUCAAUGCAACACUGCUGAUUUCAAGAUACUGACAAGAACUGACUGUCACCUUGCUAUGUCCAACAGGAAAAGCGUACCAGCCAGCCUGCCCACCACACCCAAGUCAACAACCACUCUGUCGUCACUGCAGAAAAACACAAUCAACAUGACCCGUUCUCCCCUAAGAUGACUAUGUUGGUAACAGAACUCUGGCAGGAAGAGGUGACGUUGCCUCGGACAUUCAGAGUGAGGGAGACCUUUGCAGAGGACACAGAAGAGGUGAACCAGGCCAACACAAGACAGAUGGGAUGCAAGAACACUGUUGACACAUCAAUACUUCAUACAAGGCAAUAAAGCGGCUACCACCACCAUGACCACCAUGACCACCACCACCACCAUGACCACCGCCACCACCACCACCACCACCACCACCACCACCACAGCACUCAGCGUGGCACAGAAGGAACAGAGCCAGGCGGAAAACAAGGACUAAGAUCCACUGCCACUUCCAAAUAAGGCUACCACCACCAUGACCACCAUGACCACCACCACCACCAUGACCACCGCCACCACCACCACCACCACCACCACCACCACAGCACUCAGCGUGGCACAGAAGGAACAGAGCCAGGCGGAAAACAAGGACUAAGAUCCACUGCCACUUCCAAAUAAGGUAAUACAUGAAUUUUCUUGUUCUUUAGCUGUUUACCGAGAGCGAGCAGUUGUCUUUUGUGUUUCUCCCCUUUGUGUCAUUCUCUCUCUUGUAUUUCUUGUUCUUUAUCUUUUUCUC